GAUGAACGCUGGCGGCGUGCCUAAUACAUGCAAGUCGAGCGAACUGAUUAGAAGCUUGCUUCUAUGACGUUAGCGGCGGACGGGUGAGUAACACGUGGGCAACCUGCCUGUAAGACUGGGAUAACUUCGGGAAACCGAAGCUAAUACCGGAUAGGAUCUUCUCCUUCAUGGGAGAUGAUUGAAAGAUGGUUUCGGCUAUCACUUACAGAUGGGCCCGCGGUGCAUUAGCUAGUUGGUGAGGUAACGGCUCACCAAGGCAACGAUGCAUAGCCGACCUGAGAGGGUGAUCAGCCACACUGGGACUGAGACACGGCCCAGACUCCUACGGGAGGCAGCAGUAGGGAAUCUUCCGCAAUGGACGAAAGUCUGACGGAGCAACGCCGCGUGAGUGAUGAAGGCUUUCGGGUCGUAAAACUCUGUUGUUAGGGAAGAAUAAGUACGAGAGUAACUGCUCGUACCUUGACGGUACCUAACCAGAAAGCCACGGCUAACUACGUGCCAGCCGCCGCGGUAACAC
rnacentral:rRNA from 1 species